rnacentral:rRNA from 1 species
UACGUAGGGGGCAAGCGUUGUCCGGAAUCAUUGGGCGUAAAGAGCGUGUAGGCGGCUCGAUAAGUCUGCUGUGAAAGUCCAGGGCUCAACCCUGGAUGGCCGGUGGAAACUGUCGGGCUAGAGUCCGGAAGAGGCGAGUGGAAUUCCCGGUGUAGCGGUGAAAUGCGCAGAUAUCGGGAGGAACACCAAUGGCGAAGGCAGCUCGCUGGGACGGUACUGACGCUGAGACGCGAAAGCGUGGGGAGCAAACAGG